UACGUAGGGGGCUAGCGUUGUCCGGAAUCAUUGGGCGUAAAGCGCGUGUAGGCGGUCCGGUAAGUCCGCUGUGAAAGUCGGGGGCUCAACCCUCGAAUGCCGGUGGAUACUGUCGGGCUAGAGUGCGGAAGAGGCGAGUGGAAUUCCUGGUGUAGCGGUGAAAUGCGCAGAUAUCAGGAGGAACACCGAUUGCGAAGGCAGCUCGCUGGGACGUUACUGACGCCGAGACGCGAAAGCGUGGGGAGCAAACAGG
rnacentral:rRNA from 1 species